UGAGAAGUGAACAGUGAAAGAAAAGAAAUGUUUUUUGAUUGAAUAGAAUGAAAAGAACAAAAAAUAGGAGAGCUCUUUAUUGCUGAUAGGAAAAGGUACCAAACUAAGCCAAAAGGGAUUAAAUUGGUUUUUCUGGAAUGCAAAGUCCUUGAGUUAAGAGAGCUACCGUAGUAUUCAACAUUUAAGAACAACUCUCUUC
rnacentral:lncRNA from 1 species